GAUGAGAUGAGAAAUUUUAAACAAUAGUUAAGAUUAGCUGAUGUUGGUGAAAAUAUCUUUUGAAAGAAAGUUAAGUGUGUUCAAAAACAGAUCAAGGUAGGAGAGCGGUUCCUAUAUUUUUUCAAUAUAAAAGAUUCGGUUUUUAAAACAGUAACAGUGCAAGCGUAGUCUGCGCACAUCUGCACCAACUUGAUAACUGAUCAUACAAGCUACAUUUAUGUACGUCGUAGUAUAGAAAUUCUUUUCACAUUAAUCGCUGAUAUACGCUUUCGUAAUUCAAUGACAAUGCUCGUUCUUUACUUAACUCAUGUGGCUUCAAUUAUGCUAGUACAUAUGUACAUAUUUCAUCAAAAGCGAAAGCUUCAAAUAAAAGACAAUAUGAUAAAAUAUAAAUUCUAAAGAUGACGAACGAUCAUGAAAUGUACAACAAUGCUAU
rnacentral:lncRNA from 1 species